rnacentral:rRNA from 1 species
UAAUACGGAGGGUGCAAGCGUUAUCCGGAUUCACUGGGUUUAAAGGGUGCGUAGGAGGGCAGGUAAGUCAGUGGUGAAAUCCUAGAGCUUAACUCUAGAACUGCCGUUGAUACUAUCUGUCUUGAAUAUUGUGGAGGUGAGCGGAAUAUGUCAUGUAGCGGUGAAAUGCUUAGAUAUGACAUAGAACACCAAUUGCGAAGGCAGCUCGCUACACAUAUAUUGACUCUGAGGCACGAAAGCGUGGGGAUCAAACAGGAUUAGAUACCCUGGUAGUCCACGCCCUAAACGAUGGAUACUCGACAUACGCGAUACACUGUGUGUGUCUGAGCGAAAGCAUUAAGUAUCCCACCUGGGAAGUACGACCGCAAGGUUG